GACGAAGGUGGCAAGCGUUGUUCGGAAUUACUGGGCUUAAAGGGCGCGUAGGCGGUUCGUCAAGUGUCUUGUGAAAUCCCCCGGCUCAACCGGGGAAUUGCUGGGCAAACUGACGAACUUGAGGCAGGUAGGGGCGAGUGGAACUCUUGGUGGAGCGGUGGAAUGCGUAGAUAUCAAGAGGAACACCAGUGGUGAAGACGACUCGCUGGGCCUGUCCUGACGCUGAGGCGCGAAAGCCAGGGGAGCAAACGGGAUUAGAUACCCCGGUAGUCCUGGCCCUAAACGAUGUCAACUAGGUCCGAGGCACUCUGACGUGUUUCUGGCCGAAACAAAAGCGUUAAGUUGACCGCCUGGGGAGUACGGUCGCAAGGCUAAA
rnacentral:rRNA from 1 species